rnacentral:lncRNA from 1 species
AAGAACAUUUCACAAAUAAAAGAAAUUCUCAAAGCAUUUUAUUUUCUAAACCAAACUAUCACUUAAAAAUAAAAACCCUAUCCAUGUUCAUCAUCAUACCAUCCCUUUAUCAUUGUUUCUAACUCUUUAACCCUUUAUGGUCGUUGGAUCGAAUCAUUUCACAUUUAUGAAUGAUUGCACCUUGGGUUUGAAACCCUCACAAUUCUCAAUGAGCUGGAGGAAAGUUACUGUUUGAGCUAUUAGCCUUACAGAAAAUCCUCUGUGAAUGAAUCUACUACAUCGAAUACCCUCAUUGUCAAACUAAUCCACUAUCUUAUCUGCUUCUGUUCUUGGCAUCUAGAGAAUAUCUAUGUCAAAGCAAAGAGCUUAUUUGAGAACAAGCCCUUCUUUCACAAACAACUUAUCUGCUCUUUCAGGUCCUAUCGAACCUGGUGCUCUCACUUCCUUGCUUUGAGGAGCAUAAUGCAUAGUAUAAGAAGGGGGCAAGGAUUACUACUAUUGAUUAACCGGUGUCAGUUGCUUUAGCAGCUCCAUAAUCCCACCAUCAUAUUCUUAUCUCGUAUUUAGGUUGAAAUAUUUUGGGUAUGAAGGCUUUAAAGGCUUUGAAGGCACAGGGACAACAAGGUAUCUCUCAAACAAGUAAGGAAAGAGUUUUUCAUAUGAAAUGGGAAUAAGAUCUAGCUAUUUCUUUUUCUUGGCUAAUUUUUAAGCAAUAGAUUGACUAGGAGUUCGAGAAUUUGGUGAUGGUGCAAAGGUUCAAAGUUGAGAAAUUGGCUGAAUAGGUGGUUGGGGAAUAAAAGGUUAGAGAUGUAAACUUCUCAAAAACUACAUGAAGUUUUAGGGCCUCAUCUUAGAUGCUUGAAAAUGAGGUUGAAAAUAGACAUGAGAAGGAU